AAUCGGGCGUGCAACACUUCUGCUAGAAAGAGCUACAGGAAAUGCGCUAUACGGAAGUCAAGUGAAUACAUAUGAACAGAAGGCUGAAAAACAGAACCCUAACCCUAA